rnacentral:snRNA from 1 species
AUCGCUUCUCGGCCUUUUGGCUAAGAUCAAGUGUAGAUUUGUUAAUGAGAUAAUAAGAGCUGAUUCUUAAAUCAUAUUUCUAAAAAAAUAAGUGAUAUAAACUUAC